GUUACAGUGGCCGAGUGGUUAAGGCGACACCCUGCUAUUAGGUGUUGGGUUCUGCCUGCGCAGGUUCGAAUCCUGUCUGUGACG